UUUGGAAUUGUGUUUGUUUUGAAACUAUGUUGUUAUCCUGGAUUUGGAGAAGUUUUUUCGUAAAACUUUUUCAUUUCAGGGAGUAGGCUUUCAUAGACCUUUUUUAAAUUAAACAUUUUAUCAUUUGUCUAAAUUUAUUUUAAUAAUUUAAAAACAACUUUUGACAAUGAUCCUUGUUCUCGCAACGAGAAGAAGCAGCAAAUGCGAUAAGUAAUGUGAAUGCAGAAUACGUGAAUCAUCAAAUCUUCGAACGCAUAUUGCACUUUUUUAGUUACUAAAAAGUAUGUCUGUUUGAGUAUAUAAAUAUUCUCAUAAAACUUUUUGUUUUAUGGUUAUGAUGUUUUACAACGAUAAACAAGUGUUCACUUUAAAUUGAUUUUUUUUAAAGCCAAUUUUUUUUGUUUUAUUAUAAAUUGGAUAAAAUUUCCGUAAAAGGAAUAAACUUUCAGUUUUAGAAUAACCAAAUAUAGUUAUCAAAAAAAAGGAAAUUUAAAUAUUAUAAACUAACUUGAUCUCAAAUCAAUAAGAGUACCGCUGAACUUAAGCAUAUCAAUAACGAGGAAAAGAAACUAACAAGGAUCCUUAGUAACGGCAUGAAGCGGGAAGAGCUCAAAUUUGAAUCUUCAAGGUUCUACCUUGACGAAUUGUAGUUUAAGAAGUGUUUUCUGCUAGUGGAGUGGCAAAAGUCUUUGGAAUAGGAAUCAUAGAGGUGAGAAUCCCGUAUUUGGUAUUCUUCUAGCUUGUGAUACACUUUCAAAGAGUCGGUUGUUGGGAAUGCAGUCCAAAAUGGGUGUAAAUUUCAUCUAAAGCUAAAUAUUGCGAGAGACCGAUAGCGAACAAGUACCGUGAGGGAAAGAUGAAAGAACUUUGAAAGAGAGUUAAACAGUACGUGAAAUUGUCAAAGGAAGCGUUUGACACCAGUGUUGUUUUCCGAAAAUCAAUUAUGAAUGUUUGUUUUGAGGAGUUAUGACUUCAUCGGCUUGCUCCUUUCUUUACGGAACUUCGUAAUGCACUUUUCGGUUAACAAGUCAACAUCAAUUUCUUUUGUUGUAAAAGGGUACGAGGAAGUGGCUUUCUUUUCGGAGAAAGUGUUAUAGCCUUGUGCCUCUGCAAUCGGAGAGACUGAGGUCUGCAGCGUAGAUCCUUCGGGCUAGAUACACUGUGCUAAGUUAUAGCUUUUCAUAGACAACUUGUUGACUAUGUUAGUCUUGUAGCUACCCGCUUGUUGCUAUUUACCUACGCUUAGGAUGUGAU
rnacentral:misc_RNA from 1 species